rfam:Gossypium hirsutum cultivar TM-1 unplaced genomic scaffold scaffold3486.1, whole genome shotgun sequence
UAUUAAAAAUUUUAUCAAUUUCUACAGUUAAAAACUAGUGUGAGUGACAAAAUAAUUAAACAGUUACACUUGUUGAAUCAUGUGUACCUUAUUUAGAUGUACAAAGACCAGCUUUUAACAGUAGAAAUGGAUGAAGAUUUUGACA